CAAUAGAGUGGGAAGAGCUUUAAGUAGAGGUGAUAAACCUAUCGAGCACAGUUAUAGCUGGUUGCCUAAGAAAUGGAUAGAAGUUCAGCCCUUAAAAUAUUCCCCAGCCACCCUCAAUAGUUGUUAUGAUAAAGGAAAAUUAAGGAGUUAGACAGAAGGGGUACAGCUCUUCUGAAUAAAGAAACAACUUUAGUAGGUGAAUCAGGAUCAUAUUAAUCAAGGACUAAAAUUUAAGUGGGCCUAAAAGCAGCCACCUUCAAAGAAAGCGUUAAAGCUCCAACUAUUUAACACGUCCCUUUAUACUGAUAUAUUGCUUCUCCCCCUCCCUACUAUUUAAUAGGCUAUCUUAUGCCCCCAUAAGAAUAAUUAUGCUAAAAUGAGUAAUAAGAAGAAACUUCUUCUCCCAGCAUACAUGUAAGUCAGACCGGACCACCCACCGAUUAUUAUACGACCCCAAACUCAGAGGGACAUAAGUUAAAAAACAAGAAAAUCACUUAACUAAAAUCGUUAACCCCACACAGGAAUGCAUUAAGGAAAGACUAAAAGGAAAGGAAGGAACUCGGCAAACUCAAGCCUCGCCUGUUUACCAAAAACAUCGCCUCUUGAUCUAUAUAAUAUAAGAGGUCUCGCCUGCCCAGUGACUAAGUGUUAAACGGCCGUGGUAUCUUAACCAUGCGAAGGUAGCGUAAUCAUUUGUCUUUUAAAUGAAGACCUGUAUGAAUGGCAAAACGAGGGCUUAACUGUCUCCCUUCCCCAGUCAAUGAAAUUGAUCUCCCCGUGCAGAAGCGGGGAUAUAACUAUAAGACGAGAAGACCCUGUGGAGCUUUAGACUUAAAAUAACCCUGUAAAAUGAACUUUAACACAAGCAUAAACUUAGCGAAACUUAUUUAAAUGUCUUUGGUUGGGGUGACCACGGGGCAAAACAUAACCCCCACGAAGAUUGGGGAGACAUCCCUAACACUAAGAGAUACCCCUCUAAGUAACAAAAUUUUUGACUUUAAAAAUGAUCCGGUAUUACCGAUUAACGAACUCAGUUACCCCAGGGAUAACAGCGCAAUCCCCUCCCAGAGCCCUUAUCGACGAGGGGGUUU
rnacentral:rRNA from 1 species